GCAAGCAAGAGGGACCUGGGGCAGCGUCCUCACGACGUCACCCGAGGGUGUUUUGUUUAUUUUUUUAAUCCAUUUUAUUUUUUUUUCUAGGGCGGUGGGCUUUUGCCCCGGCAGCUGGCUACAGAAAAAACAGACAGAGGCAGACCGCUUCCACACCACCUCUUUACCCCUCACUUCCAGCUUAUAGCAUUUAAAUUGGAGAUUAUUUACUCAACGCUUUGUUUUGUGAGGAAAACAGAUUUGGCACAACACAGGGGGCUUCUAUCUGUCUUUUGCUGUCUCCUCAAGGUCCAUCCCGGCUCGCCGAGAUGCAGUGCAUGACUCCGCUGAGGUAGCGGAUGAAGUACUGGCGCAGCCAUCAUCAUUCAGCACAGUCAAGGGAGAACAAGAGCCCAGUGUCAGAGCACUUGCCAACCUGUCGUGGGCGAAGUCAUAAGACAAGCUCUCUGUUGAAUUCCCGCAGAAGCAGAAGAAAGAUGCCCAAGGGAUCCUAAAGCUACAGCUGGACAGCGAUGAGAGGCCAAUUCUGCUGAAGAGAAGUGUUGGCUGCAUACAGAGCCCUCAAAGGGAGGUCACCGGGGAGAAGUGUCCGUAUCUGCAUACGGCUGCAAGAAUCAGGCUGGAACAGAGCACCGUAGCAAGAAGAGUCACAGC